rnacentral:rRNA from 1 species
AAUGAACGUUGGCGGCGUGGAUUAGGCAUGCAAGUCGCGCGAUAAAUUGCCUUCGGGCGAUGGAAAGCGGCGAAAGGGAGAGUAACACGCGGGUACCUACCCUCAGGACCGGGAUAGCUGCGGGAAACUGCAAUUAAUACCGGAUGAUGUCUCCGGACCAAAGGUGUGAUUCCGCCGGAGGAGGGGCCCACGUCCUAUCAGCUAGUUGGCGAGGUAAUAGCUCACCAAGGCUACGACGGGUACGGGGUGUGAGAGCAUGCCCCCGCUCACUGGGACUGAGACACUGCCCAGACACCUACGGGUGGCUGCAGUCGAGAAUCUUCCGCAAUGGGCGAAAGCCUGACGGAGCGACGCCGCGUGCGGGAUGAAGGCCUUCGGGUUGUAAACCGCUGUCAGUGGGGAGGAAAUGCACGGGGGUUCUCCCUUGUGUUUGACCGAUCCGCAGAGGAAGCACAGGCUAAGUUCGUGCCAGCCGCCGUGUAA